rnacentral:rRNA from 1 species
GCAUAUCAAUAAGCGGAGGAAAAGAAACCAACAGGGAUUGCCCCCAGUAACGGCGAGUGAAGCGGCAAGAGCUCAAAUUUGAAAGCUGGCCCCCUCGGGGUCCGCAUUGUAAUUUGCAGAGGAUGCUUCGGGAGCGGUCCCCAUCUAAGUACCCUGGAACGGGUCGUCAUAGAGGGUGAGAAUCCCGUAUGGGAUGGGGUGUCCGCGCCCGUGUGAAGCUCCUUCGACGAGUCGAGUUGUUUGGGAAUGCAGCUCUAAAUGGGUGGUAAAUUUCAUCUAAAGCUAAAUAUUGGCCGGAGACCGAUAGCGCACAAGUAGAGUGAUCGAAAGAUGAAAAGCACUUUGAAAAGAGAGUUAAAAAGCACGUGAAAUUGUUGAAAGGGAAGCGCUUGCGACCAGACUCGCCCACGGGGUUCAGCCGGCAUUCGUGCCGGUGUACUUCCCCGCGGGCGGGCCAGCGUCGGUUUGGGCGGCCGGUCAAAGGCCCUCGGAAUGUAACGCCCCUCGGGGCGUCUUAUAGCCGAGGGUGCCAUGCGGCCUGCCCGGACCGAGGAACGCGCUUCGGCUCGGACGCUGGCAUAAUGGUCGUAAGCGACCCGUCUUGAAACACGGACCAAGGAGUCUAACAUCUACGCGAGUGUUCGGGUGUCAAACCCGUGCGCGCAGUGAAAGCGAACGGAGGUGGGAACCCUCACGGGUGCACCAUCGACCGAUCCUGAUGUCUUCGGAUGGAUUUGAGUAAGAGCGUAGCUGUUGGGACCCGAAAGAUGGUGAACUAUGCCUGAAUAGGGCGAAGCCAGAGGAAACUCUGGUGGAGGCUCGCAGCGGUUCUGACGUGCAAAUCGAUCGUCAAAUUUGGGGUAUAGGGGGCGAAAGACUAAUCGAACCAUCUAGUAGCUGGGUUCCUGCCGA